rnacentral:rRNA from 1 species
UGGGGAAUAUUGCACAAUGGGCGAAAGCCUGAUGCAGCGACGCCGCGUGAGGGAUGACGGCCUUCGGGUUGUAAACCUCUUUCAGCAGGGAAGAAGCGCAAGUGACGGUACCUGCAGAAGAAGCGCCGGCUAACUACGUGCCAGCAGCCGCGGUAAUACGUAGGGCGCAAGCGUUGUCCGGAAUUAUUGGGCGUAAAGAGCUCGUAGGCGGCUUGUCACGUCGGGUGUGAAAGCCCGGGGCUUAACCCCGGGUCUGCAUUCGAUACGGGCUAGCUAGAGUUCGGUAGGGGAGAUCGGAAUUCCUGGUGUAGCGGUGAAAUGCGCAGAUAUCAGGAGGAACACCGGUGGCGAAGGCGGAUCUCUGGGCCGAUACUGACGCUGAGGAGCGAAAGCGUGGGGAGCGAACAGGAUUAGAUACCCUGGUAGUCCACGCCGUAAACGGUGGGCACUAGGUGUGGGCGACAUUCCACGUCGUCCGUGCCGCAGCUAACGCAUUAANGCCCCG